GAGGGAGGGAGACUUCGGACUUCGGAAGAGCCACGUCUCCAUUCUCUCCCAGCUUUCCCUCCCCCUCCAUCCCCAAUGCCACUUGUAAGGAAGGGGGUGCCUGGAGUGCUUAGCCAGGGUCAGCCUGGCGCCCGCCACCCCACCCUUGACUCCAGCUUCAAGCAGAUGAGAGAGUUGAGACAAGGAAAUUAUAUGCACUGCUCAGUAUAACACAGCUGGAUACAAGCUUCAGGCAGGCAAAGUACAUCAUCUCUCCCAUUCACUCCUGUACCUUGAGCAGCAUCGAAUACUGUGCCAGACAUAUGGAAAUGGAAAAAAUGAAAGUUAUAUGAGAUCCUGACCUGAAGAUCAAUAGGACAGAAACAUAGUUGCCUGGGAGUGUUAACCUGUGACCCUCAUGCAGCAGUCUCCUGCCCCCAGGAGUGAGCAUGAAGCUGGAUCCAACACCCCAUCCAUCCUGAGGUCUAGAGGCAUUAAUGGGUAUGUGAUUCUCUGCUCUUGGCGAUAAACAGUCCUGACUUGGGAAUCUUAUCUUAGAAUGGCAUGGGUCUAUUCAUCUUGAUAGCCAGGAGAACGAGCCAUUUGGAAAGCCAAGUGAAAAUGUACAAGUUAUUUUUUGAAAGCAAAAUGAAUCUAUCAGGAAAAAAAAAUGGAGUACAACACAAAAGCAUGCACAGAAUCAUUAGAUCUUGGGGAUAGAAUGCAGCAGAGAGAUCAGACUCUAAAGGCUGCCCAAGAAACUGAAUCCUCCCCAGUAUCUCUUUCAUGAUUGGAGGCAAUAGGGUAUGGUGGGUACCCAUAGAGGAGAGAGAACUGGAUGCUUUAUCUGCAAAACAGGGUGAUAGUGUUAUCUAUCACAUGGGGAUCUAUUUACUAAAAGCAUUUUCCUUCCCAAAUAUCUGACAUCCAGUAACUUCUCCAUAUGCAUGCUCUCUGAGUAACAGCUGAGGAAUGUAAGGUGACUAACGGGUUCCUUGUGGGGGUCUGGGGAGUAUCAGAUUCAUGUAAUUGGCCCCUCCUUAUUCUCACAAUGUUAGAAUGAAUCUUUGGAUUUCAGCAAGAGGUGCUGGAGGGGUGGGAUAUUGGAUAUUUGCGGAAUAAUGACCUGUGCUAGGGAGGGCAGAAGGAAGUAUGGAGACGAUGAUCUCUUCUUAACAUCAGCAUUGAAAUGCAGGUGUAUUACUAGCCUCACAGAUGAGGAAACUAAAUUUGAUUGAUUUGUCUCAGCCCCCAUUGCUACUAACUAGCAAAGGAAAAAUCAAUGACCAGUGCUGUCUCAUGUCAAAAAUCAUGCUCUUUUCAACAAAUGGUGCUGGGACAACUGGAUAUCUGUUUCCCAAAGAGUCAUAUUGGAUCCCUACUUUGCACCAUACACAUGAAUUGACUCAAAAUGGAUCAUAGACUUAAAUGUAAGAGCUAAAGCUAUAGAAAUCUUAGAAACUAUGCAGGUAAUUCUUCAUGGCCUUAAGAAAGGGAAGAGGGUGAUUUUAGGGAACCCAUGGUCAGGCCGUGGUUCCUUAUGAUCCUAAAAGUAUAAAAGAAAUAAAGAGAUAAAUUGACAUCAAAAUUUUUUUAAAAAAUUGCUACCAUUAAAUAAAAACACAGCUAUGAUGCAACAAUAAAAGAAACAACCCAUUGAAGAAAAGGGCAAAGACUUUGAAUAGAUAUUUUUCCCAAAAGUUAUAUAAGUGAUUAAUAAGCACAUGAAAAGAUGUUCAGUAUUCUUAGUCCUCAGGGCAGUGCAAAUCAAAAUUACAGUGGUCUUAUCCGUGGUUUCACUUUCUGUGGUUUCAGUUACUUGUGGUCCACCCUGGCCUGAAAAAUAUUAAAUGGAAGCUUCUAGAAAUAAACAAUUCAUAAAUUUUAAAUGCAUGCCAUUCUGAGUACUGUGAUGAAAUCUCUCACUAUCCCACUCCUUCCCUUCCAGGAAGUGAAUCAUCUCUUUGUCCAGCAUAUCUGCCUAGUAGUCACUUAGUAGCUGGCUUGGUUAUCAGAUCAACUGUCAGGGUAUUGCAGUGCUUGUGUUCAAGUAAUUCUUAUUUUACUUAAUAAUGGCUCCAAGCAUAAAAGUAGUGAUGCUGGCAGUUCAGAUAUGCCAAAGAGAAGAUAAACUGUUUCCUUUAAGUGAAAAGAUGAAAGUUCUCAACUUAAUAGUGAAAAAUAUAUAUAUACAUACACACAUAUGGAUGUAGGGAGAGAGUUUGCUGAUAUCCCUGGUAAGAAGGAAUCUUCUAUCCAUAAAAUUGUGAAGCAAGUAAAAGAACUUCAUGCUAGUUUUGCUAUAGCACCUCAAGCUGCAAAAGUUAUGGCCGUAGUGCAUGACCAAUGUUUAGUUAAGUUGGAAAAGGCGUUAACUUUGUACAAGAUAUUUUGAGAGAGACCACAUUUACAUAACUUGUAUUACAGUAUAUUGUUGUAAUUCUAUUUUAUUAGUAAUUUUUGAUCAUCUCUGUGCCUUAUGUGUAAAUUAAACUUUAUCACAGGUAGGGAUGUAUAUGAAAAAAAAAAA
rnacentral:lncRNA from 1 species